rnacentral:lncRNA from 1 species
CGCCUCGCGGGCGACUGGGGGAAGUGGAUGGGGGAGCCUGGCCAGGGCUGACUGAGCGCCCCUGGAAUCCGUGCUCCGGGCGUUGGCUCACUCCCGCCCCGACACCUGGGCCCGCCCUCCCGCUGCGCAGCCACGCGCCGGGCAGCAGCGUGGGCUGGCGGGCGACUCCCCACGCCUCCUGCAACACCGCCCUCUCCCUACCGGAGCGAGGAGGCAGGAAAAGCCUAGAGACGCCUGGUCCCAUCCGCCUACCCAGUCCCCAGCCGGCCUGAAGGGAGGAAGAGGAAGGAACCCAUAAUCAUCCCAAACUGGCGCAAAUGGCAGGAGGAGACACCAGUGUGCACCAGAGAAGGAGAAGUCAGAGAUGACAGUCCCUGCCUGAGGCCAUCUCUGGUCCACCAGACAACUCAUCACCAACUUCCCAACAGCCACUGCUCUAGGCCAGGUGUCCACAUGGGGAAUAGGUCCAGGCCCUCUAUGGCUCUCGCAGGAGUCAGGGAGGCAGAUAAAUAACAUAUCACAAAGACAGAAUAUAAGAAAUGCCUGGGAGGAGGCAUACUGAUGCGUGGAAAGUACUCAGCCAGAAGCCUGGCACUAGAAGGGCCCAGGGAUUGUUGGCAUGUAUGAGUCACAGUUCCAUUUCAGUGGAGUGAGCAGGGAGAGAAUCUCCUGGAAGUAGGUGAAUAGAGAAAAUACAGCCUCUUCCUUACCUUUGAAUUUUUUUAGGCUCCCUGUGAUGGAGUCAUGUCUUGAUUUUGCUUCACUGAGUUUUUUCUCCAGUUCCAGAGGAACAGGGGUUGGGUUGAGAAACUGAAACUCUUCACUUCUAGGAAGAUGUGGUUGAGCUGGUUGGUGAGAUCAGGGGAUGAGGUGUGGGAGAAGGAGGAUCUGAGAUACGCGGUUGAGAAAUGAGGGGAUGAAGACCUGGGGGUAGAACUGAGAGCAGUGGCUCACACCUGUAAUCCCAGCACUUUGGGAGGCUGAGGCGGGUGGAUCACCUGAGGUCAGGAGUUCAAGACUAGCCUGGCCAACAUGGUAAAACCUGGUCUCUACUAAAAAUAUGAAAAUUAGCCAGGCUUGGUGGCAAGCGCCUGUAGUCUCAGCUACUUGGGAGGCUGAGGCAGGAGAAUCACUUGAACCUGGGAGACAAAGGUUGCAGUGAGCUGAGAUUGCACCACUGCACUCCAGCCUGAGCAACAAGAGCAAAGCUCCAUCUCAAAAAAAAAAAAAAAAAAAAAAAAAGAAGACCUGGCGGUUAAGGGAUAGUGAGCUGGGAGUCAGAAAGUCAGGGCUAGGGAUAUGGGGCGGGAGUGAGGUAGGGCAUAGGGAGAUAUGGAAAUGAAGAUGGGAGAUGGAGACAGAGAGGAGGGAAAAAAACAGGGUCAGGGAGACAGAGUAGGGGACCCAGGAGCUAUUCAGUUGAGCAAGGGGGCAUUCAGGAAAUAGUAGAAUCUGUGCUGAAGAAGGAGGAAGGCUGAGAAAACAGCUGGUUUCUUUAACAACCAACCACGUGCUAAUAUGGUUGGCAUAGGCAUUCCCCGGCUGCAGCCUAAAUGUAUGAAUGCAGAGUUAGAGGUGGGUGGGUAUUUCUGAGAGAGGAAUGUUGACUGCAUUUGGAUAUACGCUGAGAAUUGUGUGUGGAUGAAUCAGUAGGCAAAAUACAUUUGGGGUGGCCCAUCAUACCUGCACAAGACGACUUUGAUAUCCUAGAAGAGAAAGAGAAACAGCACAGCCUCAGCACUUGGCUGAUUCCCAGGAGCCAAGGAGGAGAUACAGAGCCUGCUGGGUGUGGGGCAGAGCAGGAGGAGUAAGAACCCCUCCAAGUCUCUCUUACCCCAUCCUCCUCCCCUCUCCCCACCACGAAGGGCUUCUCCAAGAAGCACUGCUCUGCCAGUAAGCAGAAAAGUGUUUUGACCUCAAGAAGAACUGAGUGAAGAAGAGAAGAGUGAGAUUUAGAAGAUGAAUUUGGCUCUGAGACUGAACAAGGGAGCCUGCUAGCCAGGGCAGGAGAAAGGCUAGAAUGGCUUUGCAUGAUCUUUCUUAAAAUAAAUAAAUAGGUUUUUGAACCUGUGGGAGAAUAGAUGACUUGAGGAGGAAUCAUCUCAGCUUAUUUUAAGCACCAGCUAGACUUGCACUGUCCAAUAUGGUAGCCACCAACCACAUGUGGCUACUGAACAUUGGAAAUUGUGGCUAGUGUGACAAAGAACUGAAUUUUUAAUUUCAUUUUUACUAAUUCAAAUUUAAAUUAAAAAUAGAGGCCAGGCACGGUGGUUCACGCCUGUAAUCCCAGCACUUUGGGAGGCUGAGGUGGGCAGAUCACUUGAGGUCAGGAGUUCGAGACCAUCCUGGCCAACAUGGUAAAACCCCGUGUCUGCUAAGAAUACAAAAAUUAGCUGGGCGUGGUGGUGGGGACCUGUAAUCCCAGCUACUUGGGACUUGGGCCUAGGAGGCGGAAGUUGUAGUGCGCCAAAAUCGCGCCACUGUACUCCAGCCUGGGCAACAGAGCAAGAUUCCAUCUCAAAAAAUAAAAUAAAAUAAAUAGAAGAAGGGUAAAGUACUUUUUCCAUUAAACACAACUUUAUUGAUUUGGUAAGACUAUAUUUUACUUUAACAAUUGACAAUUUAGCAUCUGAAUUGAGAUGUGCCAAAGUGAAAAAUAUACACACAAUUUCAAAGACUCAGUGUAAAAAAAAAAAAAAAAAAAACCACCAAAAACCCAGAAUGUGAAAUAUCUCAUUAAUACUUUUAAAAUAUUCAUUACAGGCUGAAAGGAUAAUAUUUCAGAUAUAUUGAGUUAAAAUAUUUUAUUAAAAUUAAUUUCACUUUUAUCAUUUUAAUGUGACUAACUAGAAAAAUUUGUAAUUCCAUAUGUGGCUGAAACUACAUUUCUAAAUCACACAUGUGGCCAGAAUUAUAUUUAUGAAUUACAUAUGUGGCUCACAUUUUCAUUCUAAUACAUGCGGCUCACAUAUUGCUAUUGGACAGCACUGGGCUAGAGGUAGGAUGGUUGGGGCAAUCUCAGGUAUUCUGCCAGUGGUCCAUGCUCUGACCUGAGACUAGGGAUGGGCUGCUACCUCUCUGCAAUUCUGCCCCCAAGGGACUCACCUCCAGCAGCUGCCUGGGUGGCAUGUUCUGCUUGGUCUUCAGGGAAUCAACGAGCUUCUUGAGAUCGUUCAACUGUGGCUCAGUGGAGGCAACAUAGUGUUUCCCCGCUUCCGUUCCCUCAUGACCCAGCCAGUAAAUCCGUGAUAGCAGGAAAUUCUUCUCCUCCUCUAGGACUUGAUGCAGGAGUUCAAAUUCUGUGAGGAUCCUUUGCUUCUCAUGUUCUACCUGGUCCUAAGAAACAGGGACAGGCAGAGGGUGAGAGGAUGGCCUCGAAGGUCCUUCUAGCCCACUUUAUUCAGCCAUUAAUUUUAUUAAGUUUGUGUGGAAUUCCCAACCAGAGCAAUGUGCCAGGGCAGACCUGGAAGAAAGGAAAGGAGAGGAGAACAAACUUCUAAAAGCACCUACUACGUGCUCAGCUUUAAGCGAAAUUAUUAAUUUAUGGUUUACCACUUGCCUUCAAGGAACUGUCUAAUACAAUUCCAGAAGGCUUUUCAGUUUAUAAUCUUUCAUAUAGAUUUUAUUCCUUUCACGCACACAGGAAAAUAGGUAAGUGGGGUCACAAUGUCUUCAUUUUCCUUCUGUCUUUUUUUUUUUUUUUUUUUGAGACAGUCUCUCACUCUGUCACUCAGGCUGGAGUGCAGUGCACGAUCACGGCUCACUGCAGCCUCAUCCUCCCAGGCUCAAACAAUACUUUCACCUCCCAGCCUCUCUAGUAGCUGGGACUACAGGCGUGUGCUACCACGCCCGGCUAGUUUUCUUUCUUUUUUUUUUUAAUUAAGAGGAGAGUCUCGCUAUGUUGCCCAGGCUGGUCUCAAACUCCUGGGCUCAAGCGAUCCUCAGCCUCCCAGAGUGCUGUGAUUACUGGCGUGAGCCACCGCGCCCGGCCAAUGUCUUCAUUUUCUAAUUGGGGAAUCCGUUGAGGGCGCAGCUCGGCCUUAAAAACCUGUACUUGCGAUUCUAAGACCAGCGCGGGUUUUCCGUGCCCCACCUUGUCUGCCGGUGGAGACUGAGCAGUCAGCCCGCUGUAAUAGCGAGGCCGACGCGGGAGGUGAUGCCGCCUGGCCGGUCAGGUGCUGAGGCGCCGAGGAGAGGACAUGGCUCACUGGAUCUUUUUCUGAGGGGUCAGUGUAAUAGGGGAUUCCAGGAGCUUUGGCAGAGAUGUUUCUGCUUCCAGAGAUCGUGGGAUGGAGUUUUUCUUACCGUGAAGACAUCGACCCUGUGUACACCUUGUGCCUUCACUUGUACUGUCUCCUUCUCCUUUUGCUGCAAGACUUGGAUCUGCUCUUGAAUCUGCCCCUGCGGAAAGAGGGCCGUUUGGACAGGCUGUGCCUGGAGAUUUCUGGCCUCAUAAAAUCCUCCUGGUCUCUUAGGAGAGCUGGUGACACUCUCCAGGUGAGUCCUUGUGUAAUUAUUAAGGACUCGCCUUUCUCAAGCUGGCGGGGAAAGGGGUUGCUGAGAAGGGAGAAAUCUGGAGCCUAAGUGACCUAAAUGACCAGAACAUAGUUAUUUAUGACUAACUAGGACUAUGGAUGGUGCUUUGGAAUUAUCAAAGAACUACAAACUUCCCUUCAUCUGUCCUACCAACAACUUUAAGAGAGUUGUUUUGUUUUUGCCAUUUGAAAGGUGAGGUACCUGAGGCUCAGAGAGGUAAAGUGAUUCCUUGCAGGUUGUACAGUAAACUCACAAGACUGGGCUUGAGCCCAAACCUUCUGAGUCAAAUUUUCACAUCCUUUCCAUUCUCCAUUGCACCUUGAUUUAGAGAGUCAGCAGUUCCCCAGACUCAGCUCUUUGAACCCACUGUGCCUGACUGCGAGCUGCCCACUCAAGCCCAAGGGGUGGGGGCAAUGGGGUGCAAACCCUCAGUGGGAAGGUAGCAGUUUCCAGGGCCUCACUGAACUCCUGGGCUGAUGGGGGAACAGGGAAGAAACCUCAAAUGCCUACCUGAUAAUUCUGGGCAGCUUCUUCGAUCAAGCUGACAUUAUGGGAUUUGUGGUCCUUGGAUUCACGACACACAAAACAGAGGAACUUCCCAUCAUCCUCGCAGAAAUAGUGGAACAUCUCCUGGUGCCUCGGGCAUGUAGCCUCUUUCCUUUUGGACUGCACCUCAGAGGCUUGUAGAGCUUGGAUUUUCUCCACCAGAUUCCGCAACAGCGAGUUGAACCUGAUUGCGUUCUUCCUUACGGAAGUUUUGCAGAGGGGACAUUUGAAAAAUCCACAUGAUGUUUCCCCAAUCUGAGUGAUGCAUUUGAGGCAGAAAUUGUGCCCACAGUCGAUGGUGACAGGUUUCUGCAGAAUGUCCAGGCAGAUGGGGCAGAUCACUUCCUCUUGCAGUUUGUUCACAAACUGCCCACUGGCCAUGACAGAACAACAGGGCUGUUUCAAGACUGUAGGAAGCUGUGCCAAGUCUGUAGGAGCCCCGGAGUCCACUGUGGAUACUGUUUCUAGGAAGGGAGAAGGGAGUCAGAGAAAGUGGAGGUCAGAGAUUCUGCCAAUUAGUUAGAAGAGCAGAGAGAGAGGAAAAGAAGAGGGAGAAAAAAAUAAAGAAAUGAUAGAAAAGCGUAAAAUUUAGGAUCUAGAAAAUAUUAUAAAGAGAGGAAAACAGAUGGGCAGUCCUACCUUGCUACCUCUUGAGAACAAAUGGAUACUUUGAAUGUGUAAUAGGCUGCUUAUAAAGUGAAAUAAGUUGUCCUGAACUUUGGACUAAAGGUAUGUUUGUAUGGUGGUUGACUAAGAUCAGAAUGACCGGGGCACCAAACACCACUUAUGGGGGAUUUCCCAAUCAGCUCUGAGUAGGGAGUGGAGGGGUGGGUGGUGAUGCCUACUGAAAGGUCACAGCCAGUUCACUGCAAUGCUUUGGGCAUCUUGUAUGCAAAGUUCAAGCCUUGGUAGAGCAUCUGGAAAGUAGGGGAAGGGCAAUUCUCUACCUCAGGUGCUUUGGCUCCUCACAGAAUUUUGUGAAAAUGUGGAGGUUAUCAUCACCUACCUUGGGGAAUUUCCAGUCACAGGGUCAACCAACCACUCCCUAGCUCAGUAGGAUAGGCAAGGAACUUCCUUUCUAAAGAGUUGUUCUUUGUUUUUGCACUUUGCUCUUGCCCCUGGUGAUCUUCUGUCUCCCCACAACACCUGUAGUAGUCUGUCCUCUGUUGAUUUUUUCUCUGUAUGUCUCCAGUAUGCUGGUGUCUCCGUGCCCAUUCUUUGCUUUGCCAAUUCUGUCUAUAUGUUCUUCUUCUUCCUUCUUGGUGCUUCUCUGAUCCCUGACUUGCCUUCUAUGGCUUUUGUUAUGACUAGGAAUAUAUCAACCAGUGUUACAUACAUUCCCUUCUGUACAUUCAUGUCCUAACCUUCCCUCCUUGCCUCUUGUCUUAAGGAAAAGGGUGCUUCCUCCCUACCCCUUCUCUUGGUAUAGCUUCCACCCUCACCUCCUCACUCUCCAUUAUCAGCCGUCUGUCCCCAGCAAGAAGUACACCAUUAAUUUUUGUCUGAUCUUAAUCUUAGGUCAAACAGGGCUUGUGGAUGAUUAUUAUAAUAAUAGCCAGAGUGAUCAUACACUCUGCUUUGCCUGGAACCAUCCUGGGUUUCACUUUGUCCUGGUGUAAUUAUUAAUAGCACCUCCUUUCACUUUCAGAAAUGUCCAGUUUGGACUAUAAAUUAUGUGGCUCCCCUUAUAGCAACUGCUGUAAACCAAAGACUUUCAGAAAUGUUAUACCUCCAGACCUUUCUUUUUGUUUGUUUUAGGGUUAAAUUAAAACAGUCUAACAUCUGUAAAUUGUUUUACUUACACUCCUAAACUGCUGGCCCCUAGAAGCAGAAUUUAACUUUUGACAGGUUUUGUUUGACUGGCAUGAUGAUUUAGAAAAUAAUGAUAAUGUAGAUGCCUUUAGAGAGGGUGGCUAUGUUCCCCACCGCUCUGCUACCUCACGUCUCCUUGGCCCUUGAAGGCAUUUGACAUUAUGACUCUGAUUUAUAGAUUUAUUUUGCUUAUAUUACCUCAUUUAAGUCUCACCUGUAAGAAAUUAUCUUUAUCCUUUCUCAAAAAAGGAACUCAGUAUUCUUCAGAAUCACUUGGAAAACUUGUUAAAAUUCAGAUUUGCUGAACUCCAGUAGAGACUUUCUCUUUCAACAGGUCCUUGGUGGAGCCUGAUGAUUGACAUCUUAAGCAAAUUCUCUGGAGAAGUCGAUGCUCCUGAUGGAGGCUCACACAUUGAUAACCCCUGGUUUAGAGACACUACUAAUUGUUCCAGCUCAUCCAGCUAAUAAAUGACAGAUCUCAGACU